UCCCUGGUGGUCCAGUGGUUAGGACUCCUGCUUCCCCUGUAGGAGGCCCAGGUUUGAUCCCUGGUCAGGGAA